AAAUGAUACAAUGAAAAAUAUGUUCACCUUUCUCGUGGUUCAAUAUAACUAAACCACUCCUAAACUGGCUGACGUCAUUAAUUUCAUCACUAACCCACUUUCAGUAAUGCGGAAAAUUCCAAAGACAUUACGUGUGUACGUUGAACCUGAUGAUGAUCUAUUAAUAGAGAUCGUAAGUGAUGAUAAGUUAUAAAUCAUAAACAGCUGGACGCUGAGUUUAGCAAACAAAUCGACUAACUUAUUGGUUCAGUUUUAUUGUGCCGACAAAGAAAAAUUCAGAAGAACGAAAACAAAACAUACCAACGAUCCGACAUGUAACAAUUUUAAGAAUGAAAUUUAAAACCGAAAGAAAAUUAUACGAAAAUUCGAACACAGUAAAUUUCCUGUUGUUUUUCAUCUCAUUCA